rnacentral:rRNA from 1 species
AUUGAACGCUGGCGGCAUGCCUUACACAUGCAAGUCGAACGGUAACAGGUCUUCGGAUGCUGACGAGUGGCGAACGGGUGAGUAAUACAUCGGAACGUGCCUAGUAGUGGGGGAUAACUACUCGAAAGAGUGGCUAAUGCCGCAUGAGAUCUACGGAUGAAAGCAGGGGAUCGCAAGACCUUGUGCUACUAGAGCGGCCGAUGGCAGAUUAGGUAGUUGGUGGGAUAAAAGCUUACCAAGCCGACGAUCUGUAGCUGGUCUGAGAGGACGAUUAGCCACACUGGGACUGAGACACGGCCCAGACUCCUACGGGAGGCAGCAGUGGGGAAUUUUGGACAAUGGGCGCAAGCCUGAUCCAGCAAUGCCGCGUGCAGGAUGAAGGCCUUCGGGUUGUAAACUGCUUUUGUACGGAACGAAAAGCCCCGGGUUAAUACCCGGUUGGGAUGACGGUACCCAAAGAAUAAGCACCGGCUAACUUCGUGCCAGCCGCCGCCGUAA